CAGUCGCCGCGGGAAUACGUAGGUGGCAAGCGUUGUCCGGAAUUAUUGGGCGUAAAGGGCUCGCAGGCGGUUUCUUAAGUCUGAUGUGAAAGCCCCCGGCUCAACCGGGGAGGGUCAUUGGAAACUGGGAAACUUGAGUGCAGAAGAGGAGAGUGGAAUUCCACGUGUAGCGGUGAAAUGCGUAGAGAUGUGGAGGAACACCAGUGGCGAAGGCGACUCUCUGGUCUGUAACUGACGCUGAGGAGCGAAAGCGUGGGGAGCGAACAGGAUUAGAUACCCCAGUAGUCCCUGUCUCUUAUAA
rnacentral:rRNA from 1 species